GACAGAAUCAGCUAAAUAAGCUUUCGGACCCAUACCCCGAACAUGGUGGUUAAAAUCCACCCUCUAUCA
rnacentral:tRNA from 1 species